rnacentral:rRNA from 1 species
CCUACGGGCGGCAGCAGUGGGGAAUAUUGGACAAUGGGGGGAACCCUGAUCCAGCCAUGCCGCGUGUGUGAAGAAGGCCCUCGGGUUGUAAAGCACUUUCAGUGAGGAAGAACGCCUGGUGGUUAAUACCCAUCAGGAAAGACAUCACUCACAGAAGAAGCACCGGCUAACUCCGUGCCAGCAGCCGCGGUAAUACGGAGGGUGCGAGCGUUAAUCGGAAUUACUGGGCGUAAAGCGCGCGUAGGUGGCUUGAUAAGCCGGUUGUGAAAGCCCCGGGCUCAACCUGGGAACGGCAUCCGGAACUGUCAAGCUAGUGUGCAGGAGAGGAAGGUAGAAUUCCCGGUGUAGCGGUGAAAUGCGUAGAGAUCGGGAGGAAUACCAGUGGCGAAGGCGGCCUUCUGGACUGACACUGACACUGAGGUGCGAAAGCGUGGGUAGCAAACAGGAUUAGAUACCCCAGUAGUC